AGUGACCAAUUGCAUAAAAGUUGGACUAGAGUCACACUCAGGGCAUAAUGGUUCUGUGGCUGUCAAGAAACAAAUCAUCUUGUAGUCACAGAGUGCACAGUGUGUGUGGAAGGGGAGAUAACAAGCUUACCUGAGACUGGCAUUAGACAGAACACCCAGAGGUGGAUAUUGGUAGGAACUAUAUCUUUCCUGAAACAGCUCCAAGCUUUCACGGCAUGUUUGGAAGCAUCCUACUAUUUAAUGGCUGAAUGAAACCAACGACAGAAAAUGGCCGUUUAGAGUCAAGAUGUUGCUGAAUACACUUGGAUUAUCUUAUGUAUUGGAGGAACAGAGAAUGAAAAGAAGCAACGAGAAUAGGAUUCUGAAAACUAACAAGCCAUGGAACACAUAUCUCUGACUGUAAGUGAUCAAUUACUUUAUCAUAUAGAAGAUAAAAAUGCAGCAAAAGAGAUGUGGGAAAGAUUAAAAGAGGUCUUUAAAAAAACCAUGAAUACUCAAAUGCUGAAGUUCCAUAACAAAAGAUUCAAAGUAGGAGAGAGUUUGCAAGAACACAUAUGCUCAUUGUGGGGAAUACUGAAAGAGCUGAAAAUGCAACAGACCAUUCUAAUUUGUCCACCACCCCUGCAGAGGGUAGAUGGAGCAGUCAAACUAAACCCUACCAGAUGAUGAUCUGUCCAUGACAAGGGAGUUAUCCCCAUUUCCAUAUAACUUAUUCCUUGGUCAGCAAAAACCAGAUCUGGAGUAUGUCCUGCCAUGUGGGUAGGCCCUGAUACCAAAUGAGAUAGGCCUACAGUUGUCAUGGAGGCCAUGAAAUCCUGAACCGCUCCUACAAGGGGGGCCUCAGUGUAGACACUGAAGUCCCUGAAGACAAUAAGGUUGGGGGAACCCAAAGCCACGUCCAAGACCACUGCUGCCAGCUCAGGUAGGGAGACUGAAGUGCAAAGGGGUGGUCGCUACACCAACAGAACUGCCUGAUCUUAUCUCAGAGGCCUGCCCUCAAGGACAAACACUC